CCUACGGGGGGCAGCAGUGGGGAAUAUUGCACAAUGGGCGCAAGCCUGAUGCAGCCAUGCCGCGUGUGUGAAGAAGGCCUUCGGGUUGUAAAGCACUUUCAGCGGGGAGGAAGGCGGUGAGGUUAAUAACCUCAUCGAUUGACGUUACCCGCAGAAGAAGCACCGGCUAACUCCGUGCCAGCAGCCGCGGUAAUACGGAGGGUGCAAGCGUUAAUCGGAAUUACUGGGCGUAAAGCGCACGCAGGCGGUCUGUCAAGUCGGAUGUGAAAUCCCCGGGCUCAACCUGGGAACGGCAUUCGAAACUGGCAGGCUAGAGUCUUGUAGAGGGGGGUAGAAUUCCAGGUGUAGCGGUGAAAUGCGUAGAGAUCUGGAGGAAUACCGGUGGCGAAGGCGGCCCCCUGGACAAAGACUGACGCUCAGGUGCGAAAGCGUGGGGAGCAAACAGGAUUAGAUACCCCUGUAGUC
rnacentral:rRNA from 1 species